UGGUUCUGGCAUNGAUGAAGAACGCAGCGAAAUGCGAUAAGUAAUGUGAAUUGCAGAAUUCCGUGAAUCAUCGAAUCUUUGAACGCAUAUUGCGCCCUUUGGUAUUCCGAGGGGCAUGCCUGUUCGAGCGUCAUUUACAUGGUCAAGCAUUGCUUGGUAUUGGCGGCCGCCCCGGCGGGGCGCCCCCGAAACACAGCGGCGACGUAGCCGGACUCCCUGGCGCAGUGACGUUUUCCACCGCCCCGGAGUUGUCGGUCGUGCGUUGGCCGGAUAACAGCCCUUUGACAAUCGACCUCGGAUCAGGCAGGACUACCCGCUGA
rnacentral:misc_RNA from 1 species